AGAAUCAACGCUGGCGGCGUGCCUAACACAUGCAAGUCGAACGCGGCUAUCCCGCAAGGGAUAGCUGAGUGGCGAACGGGUGAGUAACACGUGGGUGACCUACCUUCGAGUGGGGGAUAACGUCCCGAAAGGGACGCUAAUACCGCAUAACAUCCCGCCUUUGAACAGGUGGAGAUCAAAGCCGGGGAUCGCAAGACCUGGCGCUUGAUGAGGGGCCCGCGUCCGAUUAGCUAGUUGGUGAGGUAAUGGCUCACCAAGGCGACGAU
rnacentral:rRNA from 1 species